rnacentral:rRNA from 1 species
AUUGAACGCUAGCUACAGGCUUAACACAUGCAAGUCGAGGGACCGGCGCACGGGUGAGUAACACGUAUCCAACCUGCCCUUUACUCGGGGAUAGCCUUUCGAAAGAAAGAUUAAUACCCGAUAUAAAGGAUGGGGAUGCGUUCAAUUAGGUUGUUGGUAAGGUAACGGCCCACCAAGCCUUCGAUGGAUAGGGGUUAUGAGAGGAAGGUCCCCCGCAUUUGAGCUAAGGCACAGACCAAACUCCUACGGGAGACAGCAGUGAGGAAUAUUAGUCAAUGGGCGUUAGCCUGGACCAGCCAAGUGGAGUGAAGGAUGAAGGCUUAUGGGUCGUAAACUUCUUGUAUAUAAGAAUAUGUAUUAUAUGAAGAAGGAUCGGCUAACUCCGUGCCAGCAGCCGCGGUAAUAC